rnacentral:rRNA from 1 species
CAGCCCCUCGAGUGGUGGGGAUGAUUAUUUGGCCUAAAGCGUCUGUAGCCGGCCGUGUAAGUCCCCCGUUAAAUCCAGCGUCUCAAGCGUUGGACUGCGGGAGAUACUGCUCGGCUAGAGAGUGGGAGAGGUGUGCGGUAUUCUGGGGGUAGGGGCGAAAUCCUUUGAUCCCCGGAGGACCACCAGUGGCGAAGGCUGCACACUAGAACACGUCUGACGGUCAGGGACGAAAGCUGGGGUAGCGAACCGGAUUAGAUACCCGAGUAGUCC